UACGAACUGUGCAAACGUUAUUCGGAAUCACUGGGCUUAAAGGGUGCGUAGGCGGCCAUUUAAGUAGGGUGUGAAAGCCCCCGGCUCAACCGGGGAAUUGCGUCCUAAACUGGAUGGCUGGAGUGGGACAGAGGUGUGUGGAACUUCCGGUGGAGCGGUGAAAUGUGUUGAUAUCGGAAGGAACGCCGGUGGCGAAAGCGACACACUGGGUCUCAACUGACGCUGAGGCACGAAAGCCAGGGGAGCAAACGGG
rnacentral:rRNA from 1 species